rnacentral:rRNA from 1 species
ACCAGCAGCCAUAUCAACCUGCAACUCAGAAUUGACAACCCACUGAAGCCCAGCAGGUUUGAACUUGGUCAGUACCUGAAUGGGAGAGCUCCUGGGAAAAACUAAGGUUGCUGCUGGAA